GUCUUCGUGGUGUAGUGGUUAGCACACUCGACGCGCGCAACCGAGAGGUCCGUGGUUCGAUUCCCGGCGAAGGCG
rnacentral:tRNA from 1 species